GCAAAGCCACAGUCCCUAUUGAGUAAGUCAUCCUCUGCACACACACUCUCAGGGAUGUGGUAACAAUUCUUUCCUUUGACCCUUCAGGCCUCACGUGUACCAGCACUCUGCUCUCCUUUGCCUUGGGACGUUCCAUCCCUGGAAGUUUCCCUGCCCACAUCUUUGUAGAGAGUCCAUUCUCCAAGCUUCAGUGUGUCAUCUGUGAGGACUGUGACCUACCUGGUACAUCGCCUCAGGGCAUUCAUUUCAGGCUCCUUCUAAAUGGUCAAGUUUUGAAAUGGAAUUGCCAGCAUGCUAAAGAUACACCAUUCAGUUCUCAUCCCACUUUGCAUAGCUUGGAAUCUAUGAUCCUGCAAAUAUCUUUCAACUGCAUUUUGAGAACUUUGGGAAUAUUGACUCAUGGAAAUGGAGCCUGUGUAAGACACAAAUGAUACUUUUGAACAUCUGCCAGCAAGUAUGUCAACUACCUGUCCAAGAAAAUAAAGAACUAUUGUUGCUCC
rnacentral:lncRNA from 1 species